AUGCCUGAAGGCAGGAAUCGUUUGGAGACCAUCUUGGAGGUUGGUGACCAUGGCAACCAUCACUUCUGCACAAAGAGAGGUUUCAUUCCUCCUCUCAGACACUUGAGUUUGUGGCAGAGGAUACAGUGGCCUGCUCACCUUCCCUUGGCCACACUGACUUCCUCAGGAAGAGGAAGACCUGCCAGUCUGGGUCUCCACCCAUCUGACCUCAUCGGCUUCCUGGAGGAACCUGGUUCAGAGAGGAGGAUCCAAACCCGCUCUGACAGAGGUGUGAGGAAGAUUUGUGGUGUGCUGGCUCAAGGGGACUCCUGCAGCCUUGCGUUGAUGCCUUGGAGACAUGCCAUCAAGGAGCAGCAGACCAGGUCAUCUGCAUUUUCUAGUCAUCAUUGGUACCCAAAGAAAGCCUCAGGGGUUGGGGAAUGUGACCCAAGUGGUAGAGUACUUGUCUAGCAUGCACACAGACCUGGCACUGAUCCUCAGCACCACAUAACCCAGACUUGGUGGUGCAUGCCUAUAACCCCACACUUGGAGGUGGAGGCAGGAGGGUCGGAAGUUCAAGGUCAUCCUUUGCUACAUAGUGAGUUUGAGGCCACUCUUAGAACAAGCCUCAAGUGGCACUGACAGUGGUGAAGAGCAGGAAGAGGGAGGGAGUUGGGGGAGACUAGAGCCAUGGCUCAGUCUGGAAAGUGCUGGCCCUGCAAACAUGGGAAUCGACUCUGGAUCCCCAGAGCUUGGGAAAGUGGGACAGCUUUAGUGGCACAUAGCUCUGAGCAGCUGGAGACAGAAGGACACUGGCGCUUGGACAGCCAGCCUAGGCCACCAUUGAGCUCCACUGUCAAUGAGAGAUGCUGCCUCAAAAAAUAAGAUGGAGAGUGAUUAAGAAGGACACCCAGGCUGGUCUCCUGCUUCACAUGUAAGCAGACAAACAUGCACACGAACCCCCAUGUGAUGGCAGGUCUUGGUUGUCAACUUGACUAUAUCUGGAAUUAACCAAAACCCAAAUGGCUGGGCACACCUGUGAGAGAUAUUUUUUUUCUUAAUUAAAGCAUUUGAACUGGGGAAAAUCCACUUUUAAUUUGGAUCUUUUAAAGUGGGAAGACCCACUUUUAAUCUGGGCCACACCUUGUGCUGGCAGCCUAAAUAAAGACAUGGAAGAAGGAAGCUCGCUCUCUCUGCCUGCUUGCCCUUGCUCUCCCUGGCAAGUCCAUUCCUUCACUGGAUUAGAGCCUACUUCUUUGGAAUUCUGCUGUGUACUGAAGACCAGCUGAGACAUCCAGUCUCGUGGACUGAACAACUACUGGAUUCUUGGACCUUCUCUUGGUAGACAGCCGUUGUUAGAAUAGUUGGACCACAGCCUGUAAGCCAUCCUAAUAAAUUUCUCUGUCUGUCUGUGUCUGUCUGUCUGUCUGCCUUUAUCUAUCUCUCUAUCUAUCCUGUCAUCCAUCUGUCUAGAUAUGGAUACACACAUGCAUACGCAUGUGUGAUGUAUGGCAUGCACACAAUGAAUGUAGAAAUAUAUUUAUACAUUAGAACAUCUCUAUAGAUAUAUAUCCAAUGGACACAAAUGCGUGUGUGUAUAGACGUUCUGCUCCUCUUAAGCAGUGGUUCUCAACUUAUGGGUCAUGACCCUUUUGGCAAAUCUCUAUCUCCAAAAAUAUUUACAUUACUAUUCAUAACACUAGCCAAAUUACAGUUACGAAGUAGUAACAAAAUAAAUUGUAUGGUGGGGGUCACCUCAGCAUGAGGAACUGUAUUAAAGGACCACAGCAUUAGGAAGGUUAAGAUCCACUGCUCUGGCGAACCCUGACCAAUACAGCCCACAUACAUGCACACACUGGAACACAUGUCAAAAAGUACAUACAAAAACAAGACAAAACCAAGAGUGAAGAAGGCAAGAUCCCACCAUGCAAUGACCUCACAGCUUCUUCAAGAGUGGGCCUGGGAAGACACUAUCACCCGUGAACCUGGUUCCCAAGUCCCCAAUAUGCAGUAGUCUCCAGGUCAGAGCGAGUGGGGGGGACACAGGUGAGAUUCCCUGAACCUGUUCCUACAGCGGUGCCGUCUCCUGAGACCCACACAGCUGGAGGGGAAGUGAUGAGGGGAGCUGAGGUCCAAAAGCAAAGUCCAAACCUAGACCCAGAACCUGACACCUAGAGGCUGAGGCUAGAGGAGCCCCCUCCACUGCUGUGGCAGGGACCCAAAGCUGCUAGGGUCAGACUGGUCCAGUGAUAGGGAGCACUGUGCUGCACCCCUGUGGCUCCUCCUGCUCAGCCUGAGAGGCAGCCUCCAGGUGCUGAGUGGGAAGAACUAAUGGGUUUGGGUCCCGUGUGGGUGAAGGACAGAACAGGGGCCCACCGAGUGCCCCAUGUAGAGCACACAGCACUGUGAACGGGAACGACAGUUGCCCUCCAUGAACCCCAGGGAGGCCUCGCUGCCAGGUCCAGCUUGCCAGGAAACCAAGGCACCUGGGCUUGAGGCCACAGACUGAUGGCAGGCAGGACUUACUGCAGCGUUCCUGGUUUUGUCAGGGACUCAUGCAGCACAGACCGGCAGCAAAGUCUGAGGAUGACCUUGAACUUCUAAUCCUCCCGCUUCCAGGUCCCCAGUACUGGGAUUGCAGGUGUGUGCCACCCACCACCACCUGGUUUUUAUGCUAUGUGGGGAUUAAAUCCAGGACUUCCUGCAUGUCUGGCAAGCCCUCCACCAGCUGAGCCACAUCCCCAGUCCAGAAUACUGGCUUGUUCCCUCCCUCUCUCCCUCCCUCCCCCUCCAUCUUUUCCUUCUUUCCUUCCUCCCUCCCUCCCUCCACCCCUUCCUCCUUCCCUUCCUCUCUUCCUCCCUCCCCCCUUUCUUUUUCUUGAGGCAGGACAUCAAUCUAUCUGCAGCCCAGGCUAGACUCGAACUCUCAUUCCUCCUGCCUCAGACUCCCGAGUGUUGGGAUUUCCAGAGCCAACCUGAAGCACAUUUUGUGAAGAAAUUGUUUCAUCUGGGUCAUGAUGACAACAUACUUGUGAUCCCAGGAAGCUGAGGCAGGAGUAUCAUGAGGUCCUGGUCAGCCUGUCUGCCACACAAUAAAACCUUGUCCAACAAACCAAAACAAAAGCCAAGGAUUUAGGGUGUUGUUUAGUAGUAGAACCCUUUCCUAGUUCAUGCAAGGUCUUGGGUUUGAACCGCCCCCUGCACCAAAAACAACAACAACAACAAAAAACACCCAAAAUUAAAACAAAAAGGCCCAAACUGUUUCUUUUUGGUGCCCAACCAAACACUUGUCAGAGUGGCCAGGAAACUGCUUCGACUGCCUCCUGCUGACACACACAGCUGGGAGUUAGCGCCUAGCCCCCAGGGGGAAACUGAGGCUGUGUGACCCGAGAGGCUGGGGUGGGGCCCGGGGACAGCCUCGGACCCCAGCCAGCUCCCUCCCCUGGUCCACUCAGCCUCCGCCUGGCCGCCCCAGCAUCCUGGCCUCCAGAGGAAGAUUCCCGCGGUCCCGGUUGGGGGUGCCAGACUGCCGCGACGACGGCGUGUUUUUUUAAACCCUCUCUCGCUGACUUAUGAUUAUUCUUCUUUAAGGCAGGGAAGAAAUCCAGAGCGUGGCAGCUGGUCACCUCGGGGUGGCGGCCCCUCCUCGUCUGCCGACCUGCAGAGGAGACCGGAAGCGGGAGGCUUGAAAGAGGAGGAGGAG
rnacentral:lncRNA from 1 species